CCCGGAAAAAAAAAUACCCCUCCCUCUCUCUCGUUCUAACUCCAUUUUUCCCUAACCGAGAAAACUCUAGUUUUCCUAUGAUUUCAGAAGAAAAACCACAAAUCUGAGUCAAUAAUUUCUUCAUCAUCAUACCCUAAUCAAUGCCUUCGUACCAGAAAUCCAGAUCUAUAUCUUUUUAACUUGAAAUUUCCCUAGCCUGGAAAAUCGAUUUUUGUUCCUGAUUUUGAAAGCCAACACAUAGUCUGAUAAUUGCAAUUGAUUAACAACUAACAAUUGGUUGAUUCAUCAGACUGAACAUGAAAGAUACAGACCAAUUUUUCUAAGGAGAGAGAUUCUGAGGCCUAAUUCAAGGAGAAGUGUGAACUACUUCACACAUUAAGUGGAGAACGGUGUUCCUAAUUUUUGUCUCAAAUGCUAUGAAGUCCAAUGAAGUACUGGCAAAGGAUUGCAGGGAAGAAUCUAUGUAAGAUUACUAACAAGCAGCAAACUGAGUGAUCCUCCACUUUCUUAAUGUCUCCUAGUUGUUCGACAAAAAGUACCAAAAGAAACAUCAUUGACAUUUGCACAUUGUGUUCGAUUUCCAGGUGAUUGGUUCCACGUUUUUAGUACCGGAAAGCGAUCACUUGGAUUUACUGUUCGCGUCGAAGUAAAAAAAAAAGGAUCUAAAUUAUUAGUGGUUGUUGCUCCUGAUAACAGAACAGUAUCAUCAGCUGGUAAUCUUCUAAGAGUUAGACUUAUUGGCGAUUUUGCCGGCUACAAAAGUAUUCCAUCCUUUGAGGACUUCUUUCUGAGGUUGACUUUUAGGUUGGAUCUGGAUUUUCUGAGAUAAAUUGGAAAUAUUAAUAGUAAGCCAUGCAUAGGGAGGCGAUUGCAGGUUGUCUUUAGCGCGUCUUCGUUUCCGUUCCAGUCCUUUUCAAGCAAUAAUGCUCCACAAUUUAUGUCUAUAUAUGCUAGGAGCACCUACCACCACCAGUACUACUACUAAGUUUACAUAUAUUAUCAUUCAAUUCUUUGUAGCUUUCGGAGACCCACAAACUUACCAUAUGGUUUCCAAGCGGACGACGAUUGCACUCCGUUACUUGAAAUCGAGUUUCAUCUUGGACCUUCAUGCUUGCGGUCCAUGGGAUAUUAUAUAUGGGGUAUGUACUCCUAUCUGUUCAUCUUACUCUGUCCAUUGUUAUCUUACACUGCAGCCUAUUUUUUCUUUUGAUUUUUUUAUAUAGGCAUCUCGUGAUGUGGACCAAUUGAUGUGUUCGAUAAACAAAGUAAGGCCCACGCAAUGCGCUGUUGUUUCUUUUGGGCAUUACCCAUCAUGUUCUAUCAUUUUCCACCUACUGUAGCUUUAAAUAUCAAUUUCCACCCACUUGCUUUAAAUUUAGAAAAGAAAGAAAAAAAUGAUUCCUUUAUCGUAUGGUCCAUUUAGUACACAGUGCACACCGUCACUGGAACGAAAGCGCAGCAAGUAACAAAUUGUCACCGACCCCAGUUUGCUUUCUAGCUGGUUGUGUGCAAGAGAAAAAAAAAAGUGAAUGCCCUUAGUACGUAACUUCAGUGAGUGCUCUGUGCCAAAUUGCCAAUGUUGUCGAUAUCGGCCAAAAUGACCGAGAUCUUCCCGAACAUAUAUUUUCAGAAGAGUGGGCGUCGAUAUCAUGUUCUGCUCAUUAUUGCAGAUGGUCAGGUUAGUCUUAUAUUUUCAAUAAAUAAAAUUCUGUCUUUGAAGGUCACUGGUAAGCUAGCGAGUCAGUCACAAUAUAUUGUCCGAGUUUGAUGGUGAUUGUCGCUUUUCUUAUUUCUGUUUGUUUAUGGAUCUGGGUUUUGAGAAUUUGGAUAGUGGGUGUUGUGAAUUUGUCGGUAGUGUGUGAUCUGUUUUUAGGGCUUGUGUUAUUUUGAGGAUUGGUGAAGGGGGGUUGUUUCAUUUUCUGUGUUAAUUUGAUUGAGGAAUGUGGGUGCAGAGAUCUGCAUUGUUAAAUUGAUAUUCUGGGUAGAGAUGUUCUGAUUUUUGUAUAUUUACUAUAUGGCCACUGAGCUUCGAUAUUGGUCUGUCUGCAAAUUGUCGGUGGGAUCACUUUUGCGAGUGAUUGGUAUAUUGGGAUUGUUUUGCUAAUUUCUACUGUUUUUAAAGUUAGGUCAGUUCUGAUCUCUGUAGGUAUAUAAAAUGAAUUGAAAUUCUUGGCAAAGGCUGCCUUAUUACCUUUUAGAGAUCUGAUAAAAAAUGCUGCGUUUGGUAUAUCUCAUUGGAAAUGAGAAAUUAUAUUGGAGCUUGCUAAAGUUCUGUAAAGCAUUCUUAUCUUUCUUGUCGGGCGGUAAAAUAUGACGAAACGAACUUUAUGGUACACAGGCGUAGUGAGUGUGUAUUGACUACCACCCUACGCAGCUAGUCAAAAUGUAUCCUUGUAUUCCCAUUGUGCUAGGUUUGAUAGAUGUGAGAAUCAGCUUGUUAAAUAAAUUUGAGAAGUUCUUCGAGGUGAUUGGAUCGAGAACUCCAUUUACACAGUGAGCCUCCACUUCCUGUAUCAUUAUCGUUUUUAUAUCCUAUCCUGCUCUGAAAGGCUUAUGCUUAGAGGAUUGUUGUCUUCACCAAUGGUUCCAAGUUUUAUUUUGGUUUGAAACUGAAUUUUUGUUACUUGUAUUCCAGCUUAACAUGAGGGAAGAACUUACUUGCAAAGUUGCAUGCCGUAUGAAGCUUGAUGCCGAAGCUGCACAGAAUUUUUAAGAGAAAAUCGAUGAUGAGUACCGAGUAAACAUUAGGUUGGUCUGUAAUGAUAUUAGGGGGCGCCAAGAGAACAUUCCAAUUCCAGCAACCAAUAUGGUCGAUGACCCACAUGUUGCUCCUACAGCUCACCAAUUCCCAAGCUUCUGCAAGCGUGAAAUUUCUCGCUCAGCCCUGCUUGGAUGCAACUGCAAAGGAGUUUGUAUCGAUUCAAGGAAAUGUGCCUGCGGAAAGCUUAAUGGUUCUGAAUUCAGAUAUGUAGCCAAAGAUGAUGGCAGGUAAAACAGUUUCACUUUCUCCACGCACAUCUGAAUUUCCAUAUGUUUCACAUAGAUAUGGCAUGGAUAUCAAACUCAGAGAAGACUUCUCAGAAUGUAACAACAGGUUAGGGUUUUCAUAGUUUCAAAUUCAGAAACUUAUGUUUAUAACAUUUGGGAUUUUGCAUAAGUUGUUCAAUACUGUAUGGGUUUAUGGUUCAUAUGUCGAGCUACUUUGUUGAUGCAUGAAUCUUUCUUGAUGGAUUAUGAUGAUCUGUAAUUGUUCUUAAUCGAUUGUAAUUUAUGAGCAGAUAUCUGCCGGAAUUUGUGCCGGAAGUAUCUUUUUUUU